CUCCUGAAAAGACCAAGAUGUAAGGUGUCUGCUGUUGAUUCCAGCUUCCACCUCAGUGACAGUGCAAGCUCAGUGAACUGUUCAAGCCUGGCUGAUCACCUGAUAACUCCUGUCAUCUGGUUAUGACAGCAUGAGGAUGUCCUCACACACCUGUAACCUAUCAGCUCAUCCUGCUGAAUAGAGAGAGAAGAGACAACACCACAUCUCCUGUUCCUGGAAAGCCUUCAGCCAUCCUUCGAUGACUGAGAACCUCCAUCAGCUCUGUCUCCUGUCUGCCUACAAUUAUUAUAAUAAAUAUUGUGUUUGACAA